UGUCGUGGAGCAGCAGGAUAGAAGGAACGGUGUGCUUGAACGAUCUAAGCAGCAAAGCGGGCUGGUCCAGCGAUGUCUGGCUGGCAGUAUGCGGGCGACGAACCCUCCUCCUCCUCCGCCAUCUCCGUGCGGCAUCUCGUCUCCUACAUGGCUUCGAGCGCGCGACGCAAGACAGAUACAAACGCAGGACGCGGACACGAAGGACCGUGGGCGACGCUGGCGUCCACCCUGCCAGUACCGUCUCCGCAGCUAUCCGCCCGCAGCUUCUUGGGAGAACGACGUACAGUCGUCUUGCCUACAACUUCAGUUGCCAUCUUCGCUUUCCAGGCCUGCGGUCACCCCGUUCUGUGCAACGUUCUUCUCUUGCUCACCGCCCGAUCUUUACGCUCUCCUGACGGCCAGUC
rnacentral:misc_RNA from 1 species